rnacentral:rRNA from 1 species
CCUACGGGAGGCAGCAGUAGGGAAUAUUGCUCAAUGGGGGAAACCCUGAAGCAGCAACGCCGCGUGGAGGAUGAAGGUUUUCGGAUUGUAAACUCCUUUUGUUAGAGAAGAUAAUGACGGUAUCUAACGAAUAAGCACCGGCUAACUCCGUGCCAGCAGCCGCGGUAAUACGGAGGGUGCAAGCGUUACUCGGAAUCACUGGGCGUAAAGAGCGCGUAGGCGGGAUAGCAAGUCAGAUGUGAAAUCCUAUGGCUUAACCAUAGAACUGCAUUUGAAACUGUUAUUCUAGAGUAUGGGAGAGGGAGGUAGAAUUCUUGGUGUAGGGGUAAAAUGCGUAGAGAUCAAGAGGAAUACUCAUUGCGAAGGCGACCUGCUAGAACAUAACUGACGCUGAUGCGCGAAAGCGUGGGGAGCAAACAGGAUUAGAUACCCGGGUAGUC